UAUUUGGGGUCAUUGGUGCCACUAUGACUAUUUGGGGCCAUUUGUGGCCAAAUCAUUUGGGGUCAUUGGGGCCAUUUGGGGACAAUUGUGACCAUUUGGGUCCAUUUGGGGCCAUUGUGACCAUUUGGGGCCAUUUGGGGCCAUUGUGACCAUUUGGGGCCAUUUGGGGCCAUCGGUGCCUUUGUGGCCAAAUCAUUUGGGGUCACUGGGGCCAUUUGGGGACAAUUGUGACCAUUUGGGGCCAUUGGUGCCACUGGGGACAUUUGGGGCCUUUGGGGCCAUUUGGGGACAAUUGGGGCCAUCUGGGGCCACCGGCGCCCCGCUCCAGGUGCGCCUCACCUGCCCCAGGUGCGCCUCACCUGCUCGAGGAUGUGCGUCCUGCGGGUGGCCGCGGGGUCCUCGUCGUCCUCGUUGGGGCCGUCCCUGUCCCUGUCCUGGUCCUUGUCCCUGUCCUGGUCCUUGUCCCUGUCCCUGUCCCUGUCCCGGUCCCUGUCCCUGUCCCUGUCCCUCUCCCGGUCCCCCCUGUCCCCUCCGCGGUCGCCGUCGGCGUCGCGCUCCCGCGCCGGCUCCUCGGGCGCCAUGUCGAACAGCUCGCGGAUGGUUUGCUGCGGGGGGAAACGCACCUGGGCUCACCUGGGGAGCUCACCUGGGGAGCUCACCUGGGGGCACCCAGAACCCACCUGGACCCACCCAGAACCCACCUGGGCACACCUGAGACCCACCUAAACACACCCAGAACCCACCUGGGUACACCCAGAACCCACCUGGACAUACCUGAGACCCACCUAAACACACCCAGAACCCACCUGGGCACAUCCAGAACCCACCUGGGCACAUCCAGAACCCACCUGAGCACACCCAGAACACACCCAGACACACCCAGAACCAACCUGGGCACACCCAGACCCCACCUGGACACACCCAGAACCCACCUGGGGGCACCUGGACACACCCAGAACCCACCCGGACACACCCAGAACCCACCCGGACACACCCAGAACACACCUGGGCACACCCAGAACCCACCUGGGCACACCCAGAACCCACCUGGACACACCCAGAACCCACCUG
rnacentral:lncRNA from 1 species